AGUGGCGCACGGGUAAGUAACGCGUGGGUAAUCUACCUCCGAAUUGGGGAUAACAUUGCGAAAGCGGUGCUAAUACCGAAUAACAUCCCCGAGACUCCGGUUUUGGUGAUCAAAGGUGGCCUCUACAUGUAAGCUACUGUUUGGAGAUGAGCCCGCGUACCAUUAGCUUGUUGGUAGGGUAACGGCCUACCAAGGCUGCGAUGGUUAGCUGGUCUGAGAGGAUGAUCAGCCACACUGGAACUGACACACGGUCCAGACUCCUACGGGAGGCAGCAGUGAGGAAUUUUGCGCAAUGGGGGAAACCCUGACGCAGCAACGCCGCGUGAGUGAUGAAGGCCUUCGGGUCGUAAAGCUCUGUCAAGUGGGAAGAAUCUGCCCGAUGAUAAUACCAUUGGGCACCGACGGUACCACUGAAGGAAGCACCGGCUAACUCCGUGCCAGCAGCCGCGGUAAUACGGGGGGUGCAAGCGUUAUUCGGAAUCAUUGGGCGUAAAGGGCGCGUAGGCGGUCUUUUAAGUCAGAUGUGAAAGCCCUCGGCUUAACCGAGGAAGUGCAUUUGAUACUAAGAGACUUGAGUAUGGGAGAGGGAAGCGGAAUUCCUGGUGUAGCGGUGAAAUGCGUAGAUAUCAGGAGGAACACCGGUGGCGAAGGCGGCUUCCUGGACCAAUACUGACGCUGAGGCGCGAAGGCGUGGGGAGCA
rnacentral:rRNA from 1 species